UUUUAACAGUGUCCAAUAGAAUGGUUUCACUUUGCUUGUGUUGGCCUAACAACCAAACCAAAAGGAAAAUGGUACUGCCCACGAUGCACCCAAGAGAUGAGAAAAAAAUAGUCUACUUCUACAAUGCAUCCUAAAUCAAAUGUCCGGUUAUUACAGCCUGUUCAGUGGAAAUCAAUUACCUUUUUGUAAAUGUGCCUUUCCUAUGGAGACGACCAUGAAUGUAACAAUAGGGAAUAAUAUUAAAUGUAUUUUCCAGUUGGUGCCA